rnacentral:lncRNA from 1 species
CUCUUCCAUCCCUAGCCCCUCUGAACUCUCCUCCAUACGCAGCCUGGGUUUACCUCCCAGAGUCACACUGGUCCUGCUCUCCCACUCGUUUAGUAAAAACAAAACUCUAGAUUCCUGGUGUUUCCCUACCAUUGCGUUGGCUGGCAGGAUGCGGAAGGUGAAAGCCGGGCUAUUGCUGCUGAAGGCAGAGGCUGAGGUGUGUUCACGGCUGGAACUCAGAACUCAUUUCUCCAUAGAAACGAUGGUGUACUGUUAGAUAGGUUCUAGAGUGCAUUUAGAACUCCAGAUGAGGUAUGUGAGCCAAACGGACUUUUAUGAGUUCUCCUGGACACAUACCUACUCCUUUUAAGGUUGUUUCCUCAGAAAUGUGGCUUUGAGUUCCAAACAGUUGACCAUAAAUUGUCUUUGUGGAGAGGGAGCCCUGGGGGCUUAUGACUCAAUUGUUUGCUGUGAAUUCAGACAGGUGUGAGCCCCUUUGAGGGACCAGCCCACUCCACCUCUACUCCGGGACCAAGACUUCUGAGCUGUUGGGGAAACCAGGAACCCCCUUAGAGGCCUUGGUACAUGCAGCUGCCUUUGCCAGGAAAGCCCUUCUUCCCGUCUGUGCUCUCUUCCUGUAUUAAUCUUCAGAUUCUUAAACAACACUUUCUCAAGGAGGAGAGAGAUGUUUUAGAGGAUGGCCAAAAGCCAUCAGCAUGGCACAGAGAAGAUCUAAGAUCCAAAUAAGCCCCAAACCAGACAAGUGGCCUGUGAAUCACAGACGACUGAUUGGCUGUGGACGGUAGAGUUCUUUUGCUGCCCUCUGAUAUGGUGAAUGAUAUGUUAAAUUUCCUGAUAGUGAAAUAUCCUUGCGUUCCUGGAAUAAACCCCAACUUACUUAUGAGACAACACUGUGCAUGUACCAGGCUGGAACCCAGGGCCCCAGGAGGACCCUGGAACCAAGAAUCUUCAGAAAUGUUGCCACGCUUGAUUACCAUAUGUGGACUGAUUCGAGAGUAGCCAAUCAGCUUAUAUGAGUCCAGCUGCAGCUUAGUGGCCCCAACUCCCUAAAUUUCACCCUGAACCUUGGAUUGAAGAGACCGAUUUGAGAGCUUGCUUUGCCUCUUGUCUCUUUACCAGUCGACCUUGCAAUAAAGCUCUUUCUUUUCUCAAA